GAUUCUGUCUUCACCUCACGGACCAAUUAACCCAGCAACGCACAGCAGCGACGACGUCACUCAGCUUCGGACUGUCAACAGCGCUUCUGUAUGGAACACUCUUACGAACACCAGAGCUACCAGUCCCUCCUGACGUCCAGAUCCAGAACCUCACCACUACCUUGUACUUUCAAAAUAAAACCUGUAAAACUG